UUGGGAAUAUUGGACAAUGGGGGAAACCCUGAUCCAGCAAUGCCGCGUGAGUGAUGAAGGCCUUCGGGUCGUAAAGCUCUUUUAGCAGGGACGAAGGGCAACUUGACGGUACCUGCAGAAAAAGCACCGGCUAACUCCGUGCCAGCAGCCGCGGUAAUACGGAGGGUGCAAGCGUUGUUCGGAAUUAUUGGGCGUAAAGCGCGUGUAGGCGGUUUGUUAAGUCUGGUGUGAAAGCCCGGGGCCUAACCCCGGAAGUGCACUGGAUACUGGCAAGCUAGAGGACGAGAGAGGAUAGUGGAAUUCCUGGUGUAGGGGUGAAAUCCGUAGAUAUCAGGAGGAACAUCAGUGGCGAAGGCGGCUAUCUGGCGCGUAACUGACGCUGAGACGCGAAAGCGUGGGGAGCAAACAG
rnacentral:rRNA from 1 species